CAUUUCCCUGGGUCUGCAUGGGUCCCUCUCCUCUUCUCCUGAGGGGACCCCUUCACCCCCCAGGCCCCUCAUUUUCCAGCUCUUUCAAUCCAGUCUCCCUUUGCCUGGGAACUGUUGUGGCGUUCCCGUCCCGGGUUUCGGGGCUCUGCCUCCCUCUCCUCUUCCCCUCCCCACGUCCCUCACUUGGCAAUUGCGAUUCUUUUUUUUUUUUUUUUUUCUUCUGCGAGCCCUGUUGUUUACCCAGCAGGUGGAUGUGACGUCAGAGACGCACAACAGCAAAAAAUAACAACAUCUCCCUCCGCGACGCGAUGGCCUCUCGCGCGCGCCUUAUUUAUUUAUUUGUUCCGGGAUGCCGCGGGGAGGGGGCAGGCGACCCAAGGGCGGCGUAGAGAGGUGUAGGUCGCUCUCGGGGGGUCGCGGGGGCCUCGGGAGUGAGCAUGGCGGGGUUUGGACCCGGCUGGGGGCUGGGGCGGGUUGGGGGCGCCUCGCGGCUGCAACGCUGGCGCGACUCGGGAACGAGUCCCAAGCGGAGGAAUCUAUUGUUAUUUAUUGUGUGGCAGCUGCACGCUGUGCUCGCGGCCCGGCCCUCGCCCGCGAGUGCGUGUGUGCGCGCGUGAGUGUGUGAGCGGGGGGCGCGCGCGCGGGCGGGAGUGGGCGCGCGCGGGGAAAGGCCCCGAAAACACCUUAGUUUGCACCGAGAGACCAUUUGCCGCGGACCCCGAAAGUUUGCCCCAGGAGGACGGCGCGCGGCGGGCGAACGGGCGAGGGGCAGCGGCGGCGCGGAGAAGCGUGGAGCUGCCGGCGCCUCCUCCCCAGACUCGGUGGGUAAGUCGAGGCGGCCGUGGCAGGCGUGCGGGCGGGGGGAAGCGGGGAAGCCGAGGCGCUGUACCAACCAGCCUGGGCAACCAGAUCGCUGUGACCAGCCACGGGGAGCAAGGAAUGUGUCCAUCAGGCUGGGACCUGCUUUCUCCCUUUUCUAUCACUUUCUUCCCUGAAUCCGAUAUCAAAGUUAGCGUGGAAUGUGAAGUGUAA
rnacentral:lncRNA from 1 species